GGGUAGUUCGGUAUGCCCAUAACACAUGAUAAAGCUCGUCUGUCCAAGUUUCCUUUGCUCUUUCAAGUCUCGCCUUGAUUCCUUGCAACAGAGUCCUGUUAGUCACCUCGGCUUCAUCGUUUGCCUGCGGAUGGGCUACCAACGUGAAGUUAUGGGAUGGGAGAUGUUUAGGUCUUCACAAAAUUCAGCAAACCUUGCUCCAGCAAAUUGUCGCCCAUUAUCAAUAAUGAGAAUUUUGGGUAAGCCGAACCUACAAACGAUUG
rnacentral:lncRNA from 1 species